GUCAGGAUAGCUCAGCUGGUAGAGCAGAGGA
rnacentral:tRNA from 1 species